GGGCGGGUAGCGCAGUGGUCAAGCGUGUUCCGUGAGCGUAAUCAGCGUUGAUUUCAUUCCAUUUUCAUCCCUAGCGUUCAUUGAAAGACCUGGGUUCGAAUCCCAGCCCGCCCA
rnacentral:tRNA from 1 species